rnacentral:rRNA from 1 species
UACGGGGGGGGCAAACGUUGUUCGGAAUUACUGGGCGUAAAGCGUGUGUAGGCGGCUAGGUAAGUCGGAUGUGAAAGCCCCAGGCUCAACCUGGGAAGUGCACUCGAAACUGUCUAGCUUGAGUACCGGAGAGGUUGGUGGAAUUCUCGGUGUAGAGGUGAAAUUCGUAGAUAUCGGGAAGAACACCGGUGGCGAAGGCGGCCAACUGGACGAGUACUGACGCUGAGACACGAAAGCGUGGGGAGCAAACAGG